CUGCACUGCCCACGCACCUCUGUGCACCCGGGUCUCAGGUGUGAGGAAGCCCUGCAGUUCCAUUUCCAAGGACUACUAUCGGGAAAGGACUGAAGGAAUCUAAACAACUUCAUUUUUGCUGGGUCCUUGGUCCAGAGAAGAAAAGACAUCUGUCUCAACCGUUCAAUGACUCUUGACAUCCACAAGGCUGACUCCAAGCCCCUGCAGAGGCUGGAACCUUGGGUGCUCAAGUCUCUCAGAAGAUGGGGUGGUGUUUGUACGUGCCGGAUAUAUCCUCCAGUGGGAAGCACAAGCCUGACUUAGAAGACUCUGUGUCGUUGAGUAUAAACAACAGACAAAACACUGAGAUCACUGAGAUGAUUGGCACGCUGAAGCUAAUAUCUCUAGCCUUUAUGCUCUCACCAAUGUUGCCACGGGAAAGACCUGUGUCCUGCGCAGCACGCCUUUGCCGUGACCGCAGCCGCUGCACUGCCUGCUAGGUCCCCACUCCUUUCCUUCACAGAGCUGAACAGGGUUUUCUUUCAGGCUAUAUAAGCUUUGAUGCCACGCACAGAAGCUCAAAAUCCCACGAUGGCUGCUGUCUGCAAGUAACAACUGUGAGAUACAUCAUGACUCGGGGAAUACUAAAUGUAAAUAACACAUUUAUCAAAGAAUUGCUGAAUACAAUA